AUCAAAAGUAAUUUUCCCCCCAUUUUAGUGAGACAAAGCUGGAUCCCAUCUAGCCAUGACCGAUCUACAGGGCCAAGGAAUGGGUGUGAGUAUCGGAUUUCCCCUCGUCACCAGUACCCAGCUGUCUCACUCACUCAAACUGAUGCCUGCCUUUACAAUCCCUCACUCACUCACCCCUCUGCUCUAACCACUAACCAUUGGAUCGCUUUUUGGAAUUUACCUGCAUAAACCUGAAAAGGGAAAUAUCAAGAGUUGGAAUGGUUCGGAGGCCUCCGGUGUGACAGGUUGCUCAUCACACAUGAAAGCAAACUGGUGAAGAAAGCCUUUACCAUACAUCCACAUACCAGAUUUCAUUUCUUCAUUGACUGGACUAGCAACCAGUAGGAACAAGUGGGUAGCACUGCAGGACGAGAGUGAGAGCUCACACACUACACCAUGGCCCAAUAUGACCAACUUGAAGAUAAACAUUCUGUGGAUAUCCACGAUAACCCCACAGCCCCUGACAAUAUUGUGAAAGAAGAAGACAAUACUGUAUACUUUAUUUAUGAGGAGGAGGUGGAAGUGGAGGAGAAGGAGCCCGAGCCUGAGCCCGUUGUUAUAUUGGUGAAUGACAAACCACACAAGUUCAAGGACCACUACUGCAAGACGCCUAAGUUCUGUGACGUCUGUGCUCGUAUGAUAGUCCUCAACAACAAGUUUGCUCUACGGUGCAAAAACUGCAAGACCAACAUCCAUCACUCAUGCCAGUCCUAUGUCGAGUAUCAGAAGUGCUUUGGCAAAAUUCCCCCAGGUUUCAGACGGGCCUACAGCUCCCCACUAUACAGUAGUGACCAGACAGAUGCAGGUAAGACACUAACCAUCUCAACAAGUGUUCAACUUAUUUUUUACUAUGUGCUCUCUCUGCUGCUUCCCUCCUGUCUAGCCCACUCCAACCGUAACGACCCUGUGUUUGAUACCCUGCGGGUUGGGGUCGUCAUGGCAAACAAGGAGCGCAAGAAGGGGUCUGAGGACAAGAAGAAUAUGAUGAUGAUGAUGAUGGAGGAAGAGGAAUCCCAACAACCCAAAGAAGACGAGCAGGCAGAAGGACAAUGACCCAACACACCACCAGGCUGUGUAAGGGCUAUUUGACCAAGGAGACUGAUGGAGUGUUGCAUCAGAUGACCUGGCCUCCACAAUCACCCGACCUCAACCCAAUUGAGGUGAUUUUGGGAGGAGUUGGACCGCAGAUUGAAGGUAGCAGCCUACAAGUGCUCAGCAUAUGUGGGAACUCCUUCAAGACUGAUGGAAAAGCAUUCCAGGAAAGCCAGAGGGUGAUAAGAAAGGAGACAAGGCUGACAAAGCAGAUGACAAGAAAAAGAAGGAGAUGGGAAACAUGGGAAAUCAGUCACAUUACUACCUGGCUCUGUAUCGCUUCAAGGCUAUUGAGAAAGACGACCUUGACUUCCAUCCUGGUGAUAGAAUCACUAUAAUUGAUGAUGCAAAUGAGGAAUGGUGGAGGGGGAAGAUUGGGGAGAAGACAGGUUACCUCCCCACCAAUUACAUCAUUAGAAUAAAAACGGGAGAGAGGGUGUUCAAGGUGACGCGCUCCGUCGUGGGAAACAGAGAGAUGGGUCAGAUAACACUGAAAAAAGACCAGAUCGUGGUGAAGAAGGGAGAGGAGGUGAAUGGCUACUUGAAGGUCAGCACAGGCCGCAAGCUGGGCUUCUUUCCCACUGACCUGCUCCAGGAGAUCUGAGCCUGACCGGAUCACAACCACAGGGGCCUAUAGAGCUGAUCUGGUGAAUGUGUAAGCUGUUUGAGCUCUGUAAAUUGUGUUGAGUAACUUAAUACUGCAGCCUACCCACCCUAGUGAACUGGAUCAGCUAUCCAUGCAAUCCGAGCUGGAGAGAGACGUGUGACGUAAGGACCAGGAGUGUGUGGUGGACACCUAAAAAGUGAACAUGUUUGUGCCAUUUUAAUGUGAUCAAAACCGGAAAAUCUGAAACUACAUCUUCAGAAACUUGAAGCAAAAAAAGUUUCUAAACCCAAUGGCUGUAACUACUGACUGUAUCUAUUAAGUAACUAGGAUUUUUACAUUGUUUUUGUUAUGCAAACCUAAUUGUCUUGGAGGCUAAUGUAUUGCUUACUCUUAUUGUAGUAGUUCCUUUUUUAUAUAUAUAGUCAGCUGAAAUUCUAGUGCUUCAUUUUCCCCUUGAUGCAAAUGUUCAAGAGGGCUUGUUAAUGUGCAUGUUGUAAUUUUAUUUUAGCUUGGGCCGGUCUUUUAUCAUCUUUAACAUAAGUGUGCUGUGUAUUCGUUGUAUUUUUAAAUGAAGUUGAAAUCAUUGAUACAAUAUUGUAACAUUAUGCAUUAUGUACUAUUUAAGUACUAACAGCGGAGUGCAGGCUUUUCCCAUUUAUUGUCUUACUUGAUAUGCAUCCUCUGUGACACCAUCAUAGUGAUGAAAUCAAUUCACAAUUCGAAAUAAAGUCCUCUAUUUUUGAAUCAG